GAUGAACGCUGGCGGCGUGCCUAACACAUGCAAGUCGAACGGAGAUUACGGACGGAAGUUUUCGGAUGGAAGACUGUAAUUCUUAGUGGCGGACGGGUGAGUAACGCGUGGGCAACCUGCCCUAUACAGGGGGAUAGCAGCUGGAAACGGCUGGUAAGACCGCAUAAGUCGGUUAAAUCGCAUGAUUUGAUCGGGAAAUGAGCAAUCAGGUAUAGGAUGGGCCCGCGUCCGAUUAGCCAGUUGGCAGGGUAAAAGCCUACCAAAGCGACGAUCGGUAGCCGGACUGAGAGGUCGGACGGCCACAUUGGGACUGAGACACGGCCCAAACUCCUACGGGAGGCAGCAGUGGGGGAUAUUGCACAAUGGAGGAAACUCUGAUGCAGCGACGCCGCGUGAGUGAAGAAGUAUUUCGGUGUGUAAAGCUCUAUCAGCAGGGAAGAUGAUGACGGUACCUGACUAAGAAGCCCCGGCUAACUACGUG
rnacentral:rRNA from 1 species